UCAUGUUCUCUGGGUGCAUACUAGACAAAUGGGUGUCAUGUGUUGUUUUGGCAUAACACAUAAACACUCAUAUAUCUAUGUCGUGUACUUGAAGAACUAUAGGGAGAUGCUUCCGAAGUUUCUAUAAACGUAGAGGAAAACUUUAGAUACUUAAGAUUGAAGAAACUUAUGCAUUCUUGAGUGGGAUAUAUAGGACCACUUACCUUUUGUAAAUAUGAAGGGAAUGUUGGAUAUAUUGAUGGGAGUGGAGGAGCUGAGUGGGAUGAAUGUAAUCGGUUAUGAUUUUGCUGAGUUGACUUGGUUUUGAGUCUUGUAAUUUUGUUUAUAAAUGGAGUACUAUCUCCAAUGUUGGUUUAUAAAUAUGUUUCAGCUGGCUGACCUAAUUUUUUGUUUCUAGGUAACAGGCUUUAUAUAUCUGUAAUUGAUAGCCAAGUGAAGUUCUCAGCAGUGGGUGAGGAUAUUUCUUUACAGAAGGUAUUGCAAACUGUUUUUUAGAUUAAUUAUUAUUGUAUAUAUACUUUAAUUUUCACAUCUUUUUCUCUGAUUCUUGUGGCUUUGCUUGCUUCCAUAUAUAUAAAACCAUAAAAUUGUA
rnacentral:lncRNA from 1 species